rnacentral:lncRNA from 1 species
GCCAAUCGGAGACUAACAUCGCAGCGAUGUCACCGAAGCUCCACUGACCGAGGGCAUGCAAGCAUAGCGACGCUGUCACACACCAACAAUCAAAUGUUACAUUACAAGCUUUACACAGCCGGGUUUUUAUAGUACAACGGCCCCGCCAGUCGGAGGCUUUACAUUACAAGCUUUACACAGCCAGAUGCAACCUUUUACAUCACAACGGCCCCGCAAAUUAGAGGCCUCUACAUUACAAGUUACUUUACCUACAUCACAUUCACAACACGAAAAGGGGGACAUCAACAAUCGUUUGGACAUCUACACUCUACUCUUUACAUUACUAUUUCAAUUUAUAAUAUUUUUUUUGAACCACAACAAGUACUUUUCACCCUUUACCAUGUUUUGCAGGACAACAUAUUACAACGAGGAACUUCCUCUAAGCAGCAAACUAGGGCAAGUUAGUGCAAUGUCAAACAUCACUAGCUACGUCAAGGAUUCACUUUCAAAACUCAACUCGACUCGAUUUUCAGAAGUUGAUAUUUAAAUCAUACUUAUAACUCUUUCAUGUCUCAGUUCAUUAUAACUCGAUAGUGGGGUAAUCUUUUUGAAAAUCCAUCCCUCUACCAUAGGUCUUCAAUAGAAAUUGCUACGGAACAUUUCUCAUUCAAGUUUCUUUAGAACUAUAUCUCGCCCCUCUAUUCAUGCUAAUCUCUUCAUACCUCGCCACCAAAAGAUUUCAUUAUUACCAUAAUUCGAUACUGGGCAAAUUUUAAUAAAAUUUUCUAUGUUCCUACACUCUCGAACUACAUAUGACCUGAUUUCUCAUGAAGCCUGAGAUAUGUAGGCAACUCAGAAGCCAGAGUUCGACCAUAACUCCAUAAACAUUUCUUGCCAAGUGGUUGCUCAAAGUAUAUUUUGGUGGUCGCCUAAAUUGGAUCGUGUCAAUAUAUCUUUGUCCACGUCUUCUAUAUUCUCUUCCAUGAACAAAGAAAGGGGCAAGCUGUUGACACCCAAUUUUGCCUCUCCACAUUUAACUAAAGUAGUAGUAAUAAUAAUAAUAAUAAUAAUAAUAAAAAUAAUAAAAAUAAUAAUAAGAAUAAUAAUAAGAAUAACAAUAAUAACAAUAAUAACAAUAACAAUAACAACAACAACAACAAUAAUAAUAAUAAUAAUAAUAAUAAAANNNNNNNNNNNNNNNNNNNNNNNNNNNNNNNNNNNNNNNNNNNNNNNNNNNNNNNNNNNNNNNNNNAAGUAUAUAUAUAUAUAUAUAUAUAUAUAUGUUAUGAAAUUUUUAUGGGAAUACGAAAAGAUUUUUAAUUAUUUAUUUUACUUGAUAAAUUUAUUUCAUAAAUGUUAUUUUUUAUAAAAAAAUUGAAUAUAUAAAUAUUACUACUUACUUUCUCAUUUUUCUAAAUUUCACGUCAAAUAAAUAUUAUUUUUAAUGGUUAACUCAAUUUUUUUUAAUUAAAUAUAAUUUCUAUUAUUGCAAUAAAUAUUUUUCGACAUAUUUUUUUAAAAUUAGGAAGGCUGAAUUAAUUAAUGAGUUACUAAUUUAUAUUAAUUUUAUUUUUAGAAUGACUAAUUUUAUCAAAUAAGCUAGUCUUGUAAAAUAAUUAUUUUUAAUUUAAUAAAUUAUGGCUAUUUAAUAAGGAAGAGUAUAAUUUUAAUUGGAUUUAAUUUGAGAAAAUUUGGCAAUCCAAGUCAUUUUAAUUCUUCCAAUCCACGCGUGCCACAUAUGAAGCACAUGGAUUGUGCUUCUUUGGAUUCGAUCUCAACCGUCCGAUUUAAUCUAGGGGACCCAAUUUAAUUCAGCAUUCUCUCUCUCUCUCUCUCUAUAUAUAUAUAUAUUUAUUUAUUUAUUUAUUUAUUUAACUCUUGAUUAAUUUUGACCGUCCGAUCAAACGAUCAGACGGUCCAAAAUGAGUAAGACCUUUCUUUUUCCCCCAAAAAAUAGACUCUACUACCCUACGCUUUCCUUUUCCCAAAAUUCAGCCGUCCACGCCUCUUCCUCUUCCCCAAAACGACGUCCCAAACUCGUCUGCUUCCCAAAACGUCUUCUCCAUGGCCGCCCAUGCUUCAUCCUCAGACUCCCUACGCUAGCUAUGCCUUCUCCAUAGAUGCCCAUGCUCUCCCAUCGCCUCUUUCUUAAACAUUUUCUCCACAGACGCCUAUGGCCGCCCCAGGCUCCUCUCCCAUCACUGACCCACGUGAUCCCCCAUCCCCUUCGUCAGAGAAAUGGCUCUGGGCCACCGAAAAUGCUUUAUCAAUCACUCAGUCCUCUCAAAUCGACCUUUCAGGUCAAUUCUUGAGAGAUUUUUCUUCUCCUUCAUGAUUUCUUUGUUGCUUCCUCUGAGAUUGGCGUUUCCAAGAAUUCAAAUUUUGAAUUCUUAGAGCCCAAAUCAAUUAUAAAAGGAGGACUCCGGUUCUGAACGAAGAACAUCCAAAAAAAUAAGGAGAAAAACAAGUAAGAAUCAUCCAAGAAUCGACUAAGAAUCAUCCAGGAACGAGCAAGAAAAUCCAAUAAUCAUCUGAGAAUCACAAAAUAGCUCGGCUUAGUUUCUUUUACUUCUCGUUAAGCAUGUGAUUAUCCUUGUCAUCGCUUCUAAAAUAUGUCUCGACAUCUUUGAGUUCGGUUUUAACAAUAAGAAUCACCAUGUGAUAUCAAUGUGAAUUCUGUUAUAUAUAAACAUUAUUUACCUAUUUAAGCAAUCAAAUUUACACUUAGAAAAGUUACUCUAAGUACUAUGUUAAAAGAGAAUAGCUUAUUCGUGGUUCGUACCAACUCAUUUUUUAAUGUUUAGUCCUUAAAUCACCCGUUUCCUCUCUUAUUCUUUUUAAAUUGCUGAUUUGAAGCCAUAUUAGUUUCAUGUAUACAUAGUUGCUACAUCUCUAAAUUAUGUAUUGGAAACAAAUGUGCAUUCUUAGUUGAGUUAUAUAAAUUUUGUUAACCGUGCAUUGUUGUGAGCAUGUGCACUUUGCUUUUGCCUUACCUACAAUAUAAGAGUGGAUUAAGUUAAUAGGGAAUAUGUAUUUAUUUGUCAUAUUUAGUAGUUGUUAACUGCCUUUAAUCUUAGUUACAAAGCUAAUUGUAUUGGUUAGUUGAGAGUUCAUUCGGUUCACUAUUUCCUUAGGAUUUGUUUUAUUUGUUGUUAUGACUGGUACUUUUCUUUUUUGUUUAAGGUUUCUCCUUUGCUUCUUUCUUUUUUUUCUUUCAUGUACAAUCGGAGGGCUGAAGUUUCUACUUUUGAACUCGUUAUUGGCUUAAAAUAUUAGGCCAACAACAAUUAGGAUCAUCACGAUGCUUGGAGUCUCAGGAAUUAGGAGUCUAAUAUUUCUUAGCCUUUCUAUCUUGGUCUUAAUUAUAUUGUUUGAUAUGUUGGCUAACCUUUACUUAUUUCUACAUAACUUUUAAGUUUUGAUAUAUUUCUUGUCUUUUAUUUUGAAGAUUAAUUAUGUGAGCUAAUAUCAUUUGUUUGUGAAUUUAGUAGAAAUACUUUUAGAACAAAUGAUACAAAAUAUUUUUUUGGAAAUGGGUUAACAUUUUUAAGUUUUUCUUAUAACAUUUUCUUAGGCCUUUAUGUUAAGGAAUAGGAAAAUUUAUCGUCUAAAAUUCCCAAUUGGAGUUUCAAAAGGGCUAAAAUAAUAUUCAUUUAGGCCUACUCAUCGCUUAGGACCUCCAAAUAAAUUUGAAACUAGUUUAAAGGCUAGAAUAAUUAACUUUAGAAAUUACUUAUGGCUAAGAUAUUUAUCCUUUAGAAAUACCUUUUUUUAAGAAAAAUAGGCCUAUAUAUUUUUAACAAAAGAUAAAUAUAACUAUAGAAUAAGUCUCAAUAGUUAGGCCCAUUUUAUAUCUUUUUUUUACAUCACCCCUUUUCGAAAAUAUAUUUACUAUUAUCACAUUUCAAAUCAAAAAUUGCUAAAAUAUUUUAAUUUCUUAACAUGUUAUAUCAAGAUUUUAGAUAUGCCAACAGGUUCAAAAUACAAGGUACAUACAUAUAUAUGUCAUAUGCAAAACGGUACAAAUCCUACAUUUUUUUAGUUUUCUCUAUAUGUAACUUAUUAUUUUUUUACACUUCAUAUUAUUUUUUUUCUAAUAUCUACUAUCACUUUUACAAAUAUUACUUAUUUUUUAAAUAUAAUUUAUUAAUCCCUACACUUUAAUAUACACAUUAUUUACUACAUGUUUGCAACUUGACUACUAUCUCAUUUUAUUUUAUUUUCUUUCACGUCUUAAUUCUAUAUAUAAAUAAAACAACAAAUUUUCCUAUCCUUUAAACUCAACAUUUAUUUUGGAUACAUUUAUAUAAGACACAUCCAUAUUUUUUUUUUAACAUAAAAUUGUCAUAUACUUUUAGCGCAUUUAUUUAUUUAUUUUUCUUACCGUAUGAUAAACAUACUACUACAAUUUUAUCUAAUAGACAUAUAUAUGUCAUACCUUGUAUUUUACUCUUUUCUUAAACUAAUAAAAUUUACUUACCAUUGAUUUUAAAGCAAAUAAAUAAAUAAGUUUUCCUAAUUAUAUUUUCCUAAAUUGAGUCUAAGGACUAUCUUCGGAUAGGCUCUGAGGGAUGCUUAAUACCUUUCCCUCGAGUAACCAAAACCCUUACUCAGAAUCUCACUGGUUUCACAAAUAAAAAAAAAUUACUUUUACAUAUUAAAAAAUUGUUUUCCUAAUAUUUUUCUGAAAAUUUAGGUGGCGACUCUAAAACAAAAACAAUAUUUUCAAAAAUCAGAGUGAUAGUCAUAUUAUGUUGUGAACUGUUUCAGCUAGUUCGAAAUAGGGGUGCGACACUUAUGUUAGACAAAUUAACAUAUAUCUCAAUCUAUUAUGGAGAAUCCAUGUUUGUGCAUCAUAGUAUAUUCAUUAAUCAUUUACUGCACAUCAAAAUUAUCAGAUGAAAAAUAUUUGGUCCCUAACCAUAAACCAAUUAAGAGAAAAAUUGAUCAUAAUUUGUUGGUCUGAUGUGUACAAUUACUUUUGUAUGCUAUACCGUAUUUCAGAUCAACACAUGAAGCUUUAUUUUCAUAAGCAAUGAUUUCACUAUCUGAGACAUUUAAUGUCACAUCAUCUUGAAUAUUUAUCAAUAUUUUUAUCUUGAUUUCAUAUUCUGAAAGUUUUGCUCUUAACUCAAUUAUCUUGCACAAACAAUUUUGCGAAUGUCAACUACAGGUUGACAACAAACGCACAUGUGAUUAUCUUAUAAAUGCAUCUCUUUAUCAUAUCACAUGAUAGGUGAACGGGCCCAUAUUCACCUUUUAUACUUUUUAGAAUUUAGAGAUUUAGUCCCAACAUUAGUUGAUCCAAUCAACUUAUCAUGAGAACAAGCAACAUAAAGAAUUCUUGAAAAAUCUUCUAGUUCUUCAAUGUAUGUCUAUUACUCAGUAUGCACAUCUUUGGGAUGACCAAAUUAUUCAUGCCAACUAAUAAAACUAUUAGUAUUAGUAAACUUCAAGUUUACUAUGCCAUGUGCCUUUUGCUUUAGUAAAUUUCUUAUUUACUAUUAUAUGAGAAAAUUUUAGUUUUAUUAUUCCGAGAGUAAUUUUAGAUUUAUUUCUUCUCCGUUAUUCUACCCCUUCUGGAGGUGAGUUGUGAUCCCAUCACUGAACGGACUAAUCUGAUUAGCAGAAAACUGUGCAUGUAAUCAUAUUAUUUGUGCUAACAUUUUUGCAAACAUCAAGUUGCGAGAUAACAAUAGGCACACAUGAGACCAUCUAGAAGUAUCAUAUAUUAGGACCAUGAAGUAUCUAAACGACCCACUAGGUGGUGAAUAGGUCCACAAAUAUUCCUAUGUAUACGUUCCAAGAACGCAGGGGAUUUAAUCUCAACUUUCAUUAAUGAUGGUUUCACAAUCAACUUGCCUUGAUAACAAACAUUACAAGAAAAUUCACCAUUUAAAAGAAUCUUUAGGUUCUUUAAUGGAUGUCUAUUUGAAUUAUCUAUAAUUCGUCUCAUCAUUAUAGAUUCAUGAUGUCCUAGACGAUAUAGACCCAUGAUGUCCCAGACGAUCAUGUCGAAGUACGAAAGUAUUGGAAGUAGGAAACUUUUGAUUUACUAAAGAAUGUGUCACCAAUCCUUGUCUAAUACAAAUAAAAAAAUAACACAUGUUUGCCCAGAAACAUUCUUAGUGAUACCACAUCUACAACCAAAGGUUGCGAUCUUUUCCACGCCUAGCAUGGUGGCUUACACCUCAUUCACUUUAGAGAAUGGAUCUAUAUUUUUAGCAUUUAUCAAAAGUUCUCAUUCUUCAUGAAUGGAAAACAAUCAUGUGAGCAUAUGAUAGCUUUAGUACCUCAUUCAAAAUUCAUGUGCAUUAUUCAAUCACUUGUCUUCUUUCAGACAUUAUAUGUAGGAGUAAAAUGCAAAUGGACACCUGUUAUACCCCAUUUUAACCGGGUCAAAAUAGUAUACAACAUUUUGGAGAUUUCUAAAGUUAAUCGACUAAGUCAAGAAGUCGCCACCUAAUUAUUUACGGUGAAUUAGGGCACCUAAAUUGAUUAAAGUUAUGUUCUAAAGUUAACUUCAUUUUAAGGUCUACUAAACUUAAGAUUCUCGGUAAGGGUUCAACUAAUCUAAAGGGAAGGGGUUAGGCAUCCUUUAAGAUCCAUUAAAAAUGGUUAACCGACCGAACUUAAAUUUAUUAAUUAGGCUAAAUGUAAGAAAGUAAAAAUCAAGUUGGAAUGCUAAGUGUACAAUAAUCAAUUUUGGAAAAUUGUUUCACAUGAAAUCUAACUUGUGAAAAUAAAUUUGAAGUGAAGGUUUUGAAGGCUAACGUGAUUCUUGUUUUAAGAAAAGCAGUUGUUUUGCAAGAAUAAACCUUUUUCUUUUAAAGCCAAACUGACAGAACUUCAAAGUUGGUGGAAGGAAUCACCAUAUAUAAACUUAUAUAAGAAAAAUCUGAUUUUAAAAUUAUGAAGUAAGAAAUGUUUUAUAUACUCCAAAAGGCUAUUUUUAAUAACUACUUCUAUUAGUAUUAUUAACUAGUAAAAAAGAACGUUUGUUUUAAGGAAAAAGUGCUACUCAAAAUCAAUACAGAGGGUUCAAUCCUAGUCAAAUGCACACAAAUGCUCACAUUCACAAAUAAAUCAAGUUAUUGAACUCUAGUUAAAAAUAUAAAAUAAGGCGUAUGAAAACAAUUAAGCAUCACAGAAGCAAGAAAAUGUCCACAGCUUCCCUCCCAUUCUUUCAUUCUUUGUUCAUAUGUAUUUGAAAGAGAUCGAAAGGCUGGAAGGAAGAUAGACAUGAGUUUUAGAUCUAGCGGCGCGUAUCGAGUCUCAAAACAAGACUCUUGUGACAAGCGAAAGUGUUUAUGAACAUUCCAUUCAUGCUCCCAAAGUGUACAUGUAAAAAGAAAAGGAAAUAAAAAAAAUUAAACAAAGUGAUUUAAUUCUCAACAAAUAUUUACAACAAAAUAAGCUAACAAAGUUAUAACAACACACAACAUUACACUUUUGAUAACAUGAAACAAAGCAACUUUGUACCAUCCAUAACUAAAUGUAUUUGAAGAUGCACCAAAUCAUUUACUAAUUCGAAAUUGAUUUAAAAAGAGACAUCAAACUGUUAACAAAGCAACCUUUUACUUUCUUACUAUACUAAAGAUAGGUUGUUAUAUCAUGAAAUGAAAAGAUGACUUUAACUAAACUACUGCAAACUUUUCAAGAAUCAAUAUUCAAUAUGGUCACAUUUAAACCAAAAACUUAGCCAAAACAGAGAUAUUGAACUAAUUAACUAGAUUAGAUACGAUAUCUAAUCACAUACACAAUAUUAAACAAAACAAAUAAAUUGACAAGAACAACCCUUUAGCAGACAGAUUUCAACGAAUAUUCAAGAGUUUAGAACUCCCUUUUUUUAUGAUUAAACAUAAGUAUGUGCUGCAAUAAUAGUUUAAGUACGCAUGAUCCAUAAUAGUAUAUCUAAAAUUAAUACUAACUUUCAAACUAAAGCUAUUACAGAGAAGCAUGAGCUUAUGUAUUACUUAUAAAAUUUAAACAAAGCAAACAGACUACUGUAACCUUCACGGUUCCCAUACUUCAAUAAAUUCUAACAUAAUUUUUAAACAGAUUAAAAACUUAAAUUAAGAAAAUAAAGGAAGAAAAGUUGAGGUUACCGUUUAUGGGGCAGUGAACAUGGGUCGUCGGCAAGGAUAUAUCUCCUCUUGUUCCUCCGACAAAGUCGAGCAAAUAGAGACUAGAGUAGUAGAUGAUGAUAUCAAAAUGUAGGAAGUAGUGUUCUUGUGAGUGUUCAAGUUUAUUGAGUGCUUUUUUAAGCCAGCCAGGAAGUCAUCCCCCUUAACUCCAUAAAAAUGAGAAACUUUAUAGAAAUUUUUUGAUGUUCAAAGCUUUGUAUUUGGGCGGGAUUUUUGGAUUUGGAUUUGAAUUUUGAAUAUUGGUAAACUAGAGUUGUUGUGAAUCUGUCAUCUCUGCCACAAAGAAUCAAAAUCCAAAAGUUCUUUGGCCUUUUGUGUUGACCAAAUUAAGAGGAGAGAUGAGAAUGAGGGAGGGGAAAGCAACGGUACAUAUCCUUUAGGAGAAAGAGGUGAUGUUACACCAAAAUGGAGUGACAAAUCUUUUAUGAUUAAAGAUUGAUGGAGUUUUAUCUAGAAGUAGAAAUGCUCAGGAGAAGAGAGGGACAACG